AGAUGUUGGGUUAAGUCCCGCAACGAGCGCAACCCUCGUUCUAUGUUGCCAGCGGGUUAUGCCGGGGACUCAUAGGAGACUGCCGGGGUCAACUCGGAGGAAGGUGGGGAUGACGUCAAAUCAUCAUGCCCCUUAUGUCUUGGGCUUCACGCAUGCUACAAUGGCCGGUACAAAGGGCUGCGAUACCGUAAGGUGGAGCGAAUCCCAAAAAGCCGGUCUCAGUUCGGAUUGAGGUCUGCAACUCGACCUCAUGAAGUCGGAGUCGCUAGUAAUCGCAGAUCAGCAACGCUGCGGUGAAUACGUUCCCGGG
rnacentral:rRNA from 1 species